ACAGGCAUAGCAACAAUCACGUGACCUGGAGCCCCAGGUUUCCAAGCAGCCAAUCUGCAUGAACACAGGCACAGAGUUCCUGGACACGGAGGACGCAAACAGGCUGGCGGUUCAUUAAAUGGUGGGUCCCAGGAGACAGAGACAGAGAAACUCCACCUAUGAGUGAAAGUUCUGAAGUCCAGAGAAAGAAGGUGAUUCUUCCAGAGCUGCAGCCAGCGACAGCGCAGACCUGGACUUCUGACACCCAGCCCCCAUGACUCCAGUGCCACCACACACAUUCUGACACCAUACCCCUAUUCUGUUUGAAAUGAACCUUCUUGUGAUUGCUUUGGGAAAUAACUUAAUUCAAUCUAA